rnacentral:rRNA from 1 species
CAGCAGCCGCGGGAACACCGGCGGCCCGGAGUGGUGAUCGUGAUUAUUGGGUCUAAAGGGUCCGUAGCCGGUUUGGUCAGUCCUCCGGGAAAUCUGAUAGCUCAACUAUUAGGCUUUCGGGGGAUACUGCCAGACUUGGAACCGGGAGAGGUAAGAGGUACUACAGGGGUAGGAGUGAAAUCUUGUAAUCCCUGUGGGACCACCUGUGGCGAAGGCGUCUUACCAGAACGGGUUCGACGGUGAGGGACGAAAGCUGGGGGCACGAACCGGAUUAGAUACCCGGGUAGUCCCAGCCGUAAACGAUGCUCGCUAGGUGUCAGGCAUGGCGCGACCGUGUCUGGUGCCGCAGGGAAGCCGUGAAGCGAGCCACCUGGGAAGUACGGCCGCAAGGCUGAAACUUAAAGGAAUUGGCGGGGGAGCACAACAACGGGUGGAGCCCUGCGGUUUAAUUGGACUCAACGCCGGACAACUCACCGGGGGCGACAGCAAUAUGUAGGCCAAGCUGAAGACUUUGCCUGAAUCGCUGAGAAGAGGUGCAUGG